rnacentral:lncRNA from 1 species
UGGUGAAGAUACAACAGGAGAGAAUACUGAGAGAAUAAUAUCUUGGAGGAUAUUGGAGGAAAUGGGGAGGGGCAUUGGAGGAAAAGAGAAGGGCCAAAGAAAGACCUCUCCUCCCCUGACCCCUGUUUCCAGGAUUUGGAGGCAGGUUUGAAACACUGGAUAAUACAAGCAAGAGGAAAUGUGAAGACAGAUCUAAGGGACUGGAGCUCAAACUUCAUUUUUCAGCUUUCUCUCAGAGCUCGGCAACCUAUAACUUAAGCAGCAUAUAUCAGGCAUGCUAAAGUCUGCUCUUCCCAUCAGGGAACUUGUGCAGUUGACUUGCUGUCCUGGUGAGCAGAAUGAAAGCUCCUGGAAGACAAAGAUCCUUUAUGUGACUUCGUGCUGCACAUGGUUAGUACUUUUUAUGUAUUUUUUGUAAAUCAGUGAGUGACAUUCUAGAACCUAAGAAUUCAUAUACACUUCCCAGACAUAAUGGUAGUCACUCAUAUAUGUUUGUCACCUUCUCUUGGUGACA